GAUGAACGCUGGCGGCGUGCUUAACACAUGCAAGUCGAACGAUGAUCCGGUGCUUGCGCCGGGGAUUAGUGGCGAACGGGUGAGUAACACGUGAGUAACCUGCCCUUAACUCUGGGAUAAGCCUGGGAAACUGGGUCUAAUACCGGAAAUGACUCCUCAUCGCAUGGUGGGGGGUGGAAAGCUUUUUGUGGUUUUGGAUGGACUCGCGGCCUAUCAGCUUGUUGGUGAGGUAAUGGCUCACCAAGGCGACGACGGGUAGCCGGCCUGAGAGGGUGACCGGCCACACUGGGACUGAGACACGGCCCAGACUCCUACGGGAGGCAGCAGUGGGGAAUAUUGCACAAUGGGCGCAAGCCUGAUGCAGCGACGCCGCGUGAGGGAUGACGGCCUUCGGGUUGUAAACCUCUUUCAGUAGGGAAGAAGCGAAAGUGACGGUACCUGCAGAAGAAGCGCCGGCUAACUACGUGCCAGCAGCCGCGGUAAUACGUAGGGCGCAAGCGUUAUCCGGAAUUAUUGGGCGUAAAGAGCUCGUAGGCGGUUUGUCGCGUCUGCCGUGAAAGUCCGGGGCUCAACUCCGGAUCUGCGGUGGGUACGGGCAGACUAGAGUGAUGCAGGGGAGACUGGAAUUCCUGGUGUAGCGGUGAAAUGCGCAGAUAUCAGAGGAACACCGGUGGCGAAGGCGGGUCUCUGGGCAGUAACUGACGCUGAGGAACGAAAGCGUGGGUAGCAAACAGGAUUAGAUACCCUGGUAGUCCACGCCGUAAACGGUGGGCGCUAGGUGUGGGUUCCUUCCACGGAUCUGUGCCGUAGCUAACGCAUUAAGCGCCCCGCCUGGGGAGUACGGCGCAAGGCUAA
rnacentral:rRNA from 1 species